AAAUUCUUCCAAAUUCAAUAUAUUGCAGAAAUCAUGUAGGCCU
rfam:Escherichia coli str. K-12 substr. MG1655, complete genome.